AUUGAACGCUGGCGGCGUGCCUUACACAUGCAAGUCGAACGGUAACAGGUCUUCGGAUGCUGACGAGUGGCGAACGGGUGAGUAAUACAUCGGAACGUGCCUAGUAGUGGGGGAUAACUACUCGAAAGAGUGGCUAAUACCGCAUGAGAUCUACGGAUGAAAGCAGGGGAUCGCAAGACCUUGUGCUACUAGAGCGGCCGAUGGCAGAUUAGGUAGUUGGUGGGAUAAAAGCUUACCAAGCCGACGAUCUGUAGCUGGUCUGAGAGGACGAUCAGCCAGACUGGGACUGAGACACGGCCCAGACUCCUACGGGAGGCAGCAGAGGGGAAUUUUGGACAAUGGGCGAAAGCCUGAUCCAGCAAUGCCGCGUGCAGGAUGAAGGCCUUCGGGUUGUAAACUGCUUUUGUACGGAACGAAAAGCCCCGGGUUAAUACCCUGGGGUCAUGACGGUACCGUAAGAAUAAGCACCGGCUAACUACGUGCCAGCCGCCGCCGUAA
rnacentral:rRNA from 1 species